AUAAACAACUACCUUCUACUCUUCUAUCCUUUUAAGAUCUAUCCUUCUUAUCUAUUCAUCAUGGGCCCCUGCUCCUGCAACUGCUGCUCCGGCGACUGCAACUCUUGCUCUUGCUCCACCUGCAAGGUAUGUUCCUCUCUCUC
rnacentral:sRNA from 1 species